UAUGGAGAGUUUGAUCCUGGCUCAGGAUGAACGCUGGCGGCGUGCCUAAUACAUGCAAGUCGAGCGAACGGACGAGAAGCUUGCUUCUCUGAUGUUAGCGGCGGACGGGUGAGUAACACGUGGAUAACCUACCUAUAAGACUGGGAUAACUUCGGGAAACCGGAGCUAAUACCGGAUAAUAUUUUGAACCGCAUGGUUCAAAAGUGAAAGACGGUCUUGCUGUCACUUAUAGAUGGAUCCGCGCUGCAUUAGCUAGUUGGUAAGGUAACGGCUUACCAAGGCAACGAUGCAUAGCCGACCUGAGAGGGUGAUCGGCCACACUGGAACUGAGACACGGUCCAGACUCCUACGGGAGGCAGCAGUAGGGAAUCUUCCGCAAUGGGCGAAAGCCUGACGGAGCAACGCCGCGUGAGUGAUGAAGGUCUUCGGAUCGUAAAACUCUGUUAUUAGGGAAGAACAUAUGUGUAAGUAACUGUGCACAUCUUGACGGUACCUAAUCAGAAAGCCACGGCUAACUACGUGCCAGCAGCCGCGGUAAUACGUAGGUGGCAAGCGUUAUCCGGAAUUAUUGGGCGUAAAGCGCGCGUAGGCGGUUUUUUAAGUCUGAUGUGAAAGCCCACGGCUCAACCGUGGAGGGUCAUUGGAAACUGGAAAACUUGAGUGCAGAAGAGGAAAGUGGAAUUCCAUGUGUAGCGGUGAAAUGCGCAGAGAUAUGGAGGAACACCAGUGGCGAAGGCGACUUUCUGGUCUGUAACUGACGCUGAUGUGCGAAAGCGUGGGGAUCAAACAGGAUUAGAUACCCUGGUAGUCCACGCCGUAAACG
rnacentral:rRNA from 1 species